GCAUUCUCUUCCCGGUUCUUCCCGGAGUCAGGAAAAGCUGGGUUGAGAGGGCGA
rnacentral:pre_miRNA from 1 species